AUUGAACGCUGGCGGCAGGCCUAACACAUGCAAGUCGAGCGGAGCGGCGGACGGGUGAGUAAUGCCUAGGAAUCUGCCUGGUAGUGGGGGAUAACGUCCGGAAACGGGCGCUAAUACCGCAUACUAUCAGAUGAGCCUCGGUCGGCUUAGCUAGUUGGUGGGGUAAAGGCCUACCAAGGCGACGAUCCGUAACUGGUCUGAGAGGAUGAUCAGUCAACAUGGAACUGGGAACAGGUCCAGACUCCCAAGGGGGGCAGAAGGGGGGAAUAUUGGAAAAUGGGGGCAAGCCUGAUGAAACCCGUCCGGGGUGUGGAAGAAGGCCUUUGGGUUGUAAAGCCAGUUCAGCGGGGAGGCGUUACCCGCAGAAGAAGCACCGGCUAACUCCGUGCCAGCAGCCGCGGUAAUUC
rnacentral:rRNA from 1 species